rnacentral:rRNA from 1 species
GUUCCAGACUCCUACGGGAGGCAGCAGUGGGGAAUAUUGCACAAUGGGCGAAAGCCUGAUGCAGCAACGCCGCGUGAAGGAAGAAGGGUUUCGGCUCGUAAACUUCUAUCAACAGGGACGAAAGAAAUGACGGUACCUGAAUAAGAAGCCCCGGCUAACUACGUGCCAGCAGCCGCGGUAAUACGGAGGAUGCGAGCGUUAUCCGGAUUUAUUGGGUUUAAAGGGUGCGCAGGCGGCACGGCAAGCCGGCGGGCAAAUCGCGGGGCCCAACCCCGCCCAGCCGUCGGAACUGCCGGGCUUGAGUGGGGGAGAAGUGCGCGGAAUUCGUGGUGUAGCGGUGAAAUGCAUAG